UACGAAGGGUGCAAGCGUUGUUCGGAUUUAUUGGGCGUAAAGCGCGCGUAGGUGGACCUGCAAGUCAGAUGUGAAAUCUCGGGGCUCAACCUCGAAACUGCGUCUGAAACUACAGGUCUAGAGUCUCGGAGGGGGAAGGGGAAUUUCGCAUGUAGGGGUAAAAUCCGUAGAUAUGCGAAGGAACACCAGAGGCGAAGGCGCCUUCCUGGACGAGUACUGACACUGAGGCGCGAAAGCGUGGGGAUCAAACAGG
rnacentral:rRNA from 2 species